UCCUAAGCCCAUUUCGAGUCGAAUGUAGCAAUACAUGGCGUACUGCUCAGUAACACGUGGACAACCUACCCUCCGGACGGGUAUAAACCCGGGAAACUGGGUAUAAUCCCCGAUAGAUCUCGGUCGCUGGAAAGCCCCGAGAUCGAAAGCUCCGGCGCCAGAGGAUGGGUCUGCGGCCUAUCAGGUAGUAGUGGGUGUAGCGUACCUACUAGCCUACGACGGGUACGGGUUGUGAGAGUAAGAGCCCGGAGAUGGAUUCUGAGACACGAAUCCAGGCCCUACGGGGUGCAGCAGGCGCGAAAACUUUACAAUGCCGGCAACGGCGAUAAGGGGACCUCGAGUGCCAGGUUACAAAUCUGGCUGUCGUGAUGCCUAAAAAGCAUUGCAUAGCAAGGGCCGGGCAAGACCGGUGCCAGCCGCCGCGGUAACACCGGCGGCUCGAGUGGUAACCGUUAUUAUUGGGUCUAAAGGGUCUGUAGCCGGCCGGAUAAGUCUCUUGAGAAAUCCAGCAGUUCAACUGUUGGGCUUUCAGGAGAUACUGUUCGGCUCGAGGCCGGGAGAGGUGAGAGGUACUUCAGGGGUAGGGGUGAAAUCUUGUAAUCCUUGAAGGACCACCAGUGGCGAAGGCGUCUCACCAGAACGGACCUGACGGCAAGGGACGAAAGCUAGGGGCACGAACCGGAUUAGAUACCCGGGUAGUCCUAGCCGUAAACGAUACUCGCUAGGUGUCGGCCACGGUGCGACCGUUGUCGGUGCCGUAGGGAAGCCGUGAAGCGAGCCACCUGGGAAGUACGGCCGCAAGGCUGAAACUUAAAGGAAUUGGCGGGGGAGCACCACAACGGGUGGAGCUUGCGGUUUAAUUGGAUUCAACGCCGGAAAUCUUACCGGGACCGACAGCAAUAUGAAGGCCAGGCUGAAGACUUUGCCGGAUUAGCUGAGAGGUGGUGCAUGGCCGUCGUCAGUCGUACUGAAGGCCU
rnacentral:rRNA from 1 species